CCAGUUGACUAAACCCUGAAAACUCAAACAUGUGGCUAGGAUUGAUCCACGUAUGAAUUUAGAUUAAGAGUAGGCAAGGGCAUAACCGUCUUUUUCCUUCUUUACCUUUUGAGAUUUGUGUGACCCCUUUUGAUGUGUAAGUCUGCACACACGCAGACCUUUCAACAUUUCUUCUUCUUGUCAAGCUUUUCAUUAAUUACAUUGGUAUAAUCUCUCUCCUCUUACACAUAUCUUCUCUCACAUAUCAUUUAUUCCAACCAGAAAUUAGAGAGAAUCUGAUCUAAACUUUGGUGAUGAAGAACCAGAUCUCGAACAGAGGCUGAAGGUUUGAGUUCGAACCAGGCAAAGAUCUAGUGAAAUUACACACUUUUUUACGUUUUUAAGGAGGCUGAAGGGUUUUGUCGAAAUUUUUGUUCAAGAAGAAGGUGAAUAUUUUACAGAUUGGGAGGAAUGGGAAUUGAGAAAAUAUUAAAGGCUCGAAUCAAGUCAAGCCACAGGUAGAGGUUGACUUCAAAUUGGCAACCAAAGAGCAUGAAGACUCAAUUUCAGAAGAGGCUCGGAUUACAGAGAUGAAAAGGUGUUCAUGUGGGAGGAUUGCUACCAUCCGGACAUCAUGGACAGAUGACAACCCAGGAAGAAGGUUCUAUUCAUGUCUGUUUAAGCCCAGCAACUACCCUUUCAUUGGUUGGAUCGACCCACUGAUGUGCCUACGGUCAAUAAGGAUCAUACCAGGUCUUUUGAGGAAAAUCAACAACCUGCAAGCUAAACUGUUUGUCCGUGAGCAAGAAAUUCGGAAGAAGAAGAGGGUUAUAUGGUUACUGAUAUUAGCGUUAGUGAUUGGCAGCUUACUUGUUAGCAUUGUUUGUUGUGAUUAAGAAAUAGGUGGUACUUAGUUGGAUUAUCCUUGUUAGUAUGUUAAUGACAUUUGUAGUAUGUACUUGUUGAUGUUUGGUUGAAUCUGGGAAUUUUCUAUGUUGUAGAUUUUUUGGUUUUGUUUUUA